rnacentral:misc_RNA from 1 species
GUCAACUGCUGCUGUGAAAAGCAAAAUGCUUUGUUAAAAAAAAGGAAAUGCAAAACACUUGGAUCUCACCUGUCAGCCUCUGUACUUACCUUCUUUUUCAUCAUACAAUCACUAUUUUCUGUACAAGGAAUCUGACACUGAUCCAUAUCCAUCAACGCCAUGGCCGCACAUCCUAAGAAGAUCAUCAUCGACACUGACCCUGGCGUUGAUGAUGCCAUGGCAAUAUAUCUUGCGUUGAGAUCACCUGAAGUGGAGGUGAUUGGACUGACUACCAUUUAUGGGAACGUUUAUACCACUCUGGCUACCAGGAAUGCAUUGCAUUUGGUAAACUAUUUAUGUCUAACGUUGAGGCUUUUGCAAUCCAAAUUAAUGACAACACGGGAUGCUUUUUUUAAGAAAAAAAAUAAUAAAAUGGAUUGCUAUUUGUGCCCUUCAAUAGGUAUUAUGAUUUUUGUUUCUUUUCCCAACUACAGUAUUUUUUAAAAAAAAUUUUUUGCUGCCUACGGAUUAGUUGGAGGUUGCGGGGAGGACUGACAUCCCAGUGGCUGAGGGAUCUCAUGUCACGAUAACGGUAUAAUCUCAUCCUUCACUCUUGAAUUGAUUCUGGGUUGUAAUGGCUCUUUGGGUUUAGUCUUCUAUGGUUCCAUCUAUGAUAUAUCUUUUGUGUUUAGCAAUUGUUGCUGCUUUGGUGAUGAACUAGUGUAGUCUGUGAAAAUAGGGUGUGUAAAAUGCUCCAUCAUAUUGAAAGUUUGACCAUGGUAGUAAUACUUGGAUGAAGAGCAAUGAAUUUAAAUAACAAUUGAAAGCUUUGUGAUGGUUAAGGGGUUAUGUGUAUGUGAGGGAAGUAGUAAAUUCAGUCUGUUGGAUUGGAUCUAGGUCUGUAAUACUUUAGCUUUCUUGUCUUUCGAUGAGAACAGCAACUGGAUUAAUGCUUGUCAUUUUAGAUACCUGAGUAUUUGUUGGACGCUCUUUAACUAUAGGUUGUAUUCUUUGAUGAUUCAACUUGAAAUUGAAAUUUAGAGCAUUGUUCCUUCCUCUUUGUUUUUUCAAUCAUCCUUUUGUGGUUCUACUUCAACUUUUCUCUUGGUCAAGUAUCCUUUUGUUUUAGUUUCAUGUGAAAAGCAUAAUGUCUUCACUCUUCAUGAAUAGUUUUAAGGUGUUCUGGGAAAUUAUAUAAUCUCUAGAUUUGAAGACAACUUUAUGUGAAUGAGUUUACUAUCCAUUUGGGUUAGUCAUUGGAAAUUGCAAUUAGUUUAAGGUACCUGUUCUUCUGUGCUGCAUUUUUUGCCUAUCAAUGAUAAUAAGAUAUAUAAACUGACUUGUGAUUGAGUUUCAUUGUUUAUCAAUUCAUUUCAUCUCUGUUUAUUGUAAAGAAAGGUACAAAACUUCGCAUUGCUGAUUUUGUCCAUGGCGUUGAUGGACUUGGCAACCAAAAUUUUCCACCACCAAAAGGAAAGCCAAUUGAACAGUCAGCAGCCGCUUUUCUGGUUGAGCAGGCAAAUCUGCACCCUGGAAAAGUCACUGUGGUGGCAUUGGGCCCACUUACAAAUAUUGCUCUGGCUAUUGAAUUAGAUCCUGCAUUUGUCAAAAACAUUGGGCAGAUUGUUCUUCUUGGUGGUGCAUUCUCAGUAAAUGGGAAUGUGAAUCCAGCAGCAGAGGCAAAU